rnacentral:rRNA from 1 species
AGAGUUUGAUCAUGGCUCAGAUUGAACGCUGGCGGCAGGCUUAACACAUGCAAGUCGAACGGUAACAGGGAGAAGCUUGCUUCUUUGCUGACGAGUGGCGGACGGGUGAGUAAUGCUUGGGAAUCUGGCUUAUGGAGGGGGAUAACUACGGGAAACUGUAGCUAAUACCGCGUAAUAUCUUUGGAUUAAAGGGUGGGACUUUCGGGCCACCUGCCAUAAGAUGAGCCCAAGUGGGAUUAGGUAGUUGGUGGGGUAAAGGCCUACCAAGCCGACGAUCUCUAGCUGGUCUGAGAGGAUGACCAGCCACACUGGAACUGAGACACGGUCCAGACUCCUACGGGAGGCAGCAGUGGGGAAUAUUGCACAAUGGGGGGAACCCUGAUGCAGCCAUGCCGCGUGAAUGAAGAAGGCCUUCGGGUUGUAAAGUUCUUUCGGUGAUGAGGAAGGUGUUUGUUUUAAUAGAACAAGCAAUUGACGUUAGUCACAGAAGAAGCACCGGCUAACUCCGUGCCAGCAGCCGCGGUAAUACGGAGGGUGCGAGCGUUAAUCGGAAUGACUGGGCGUAAAGGGCACGCAGGCGGUGACUUAAGUGAGAUGUGAAAGCCCCGGGCUUAACCUGGGAAUUGCAUUUCAUACUGGGUCGCUAGAGUAUUUUAGGGAGGGGUAGAAUUCCACGUGUAGCGGUGAAAUGCGUAGAGAUGUGGAGGAAUACCGAAGGCGAAGGCAGCCCCUUGGGAAUAUACUGACGCUCAUGUGCGAAAGCGUGGGGAGCAAACAGGAUUAGAUACCCUGGUAGUCCACGCUGUAAACGCUGUCGAUUUGGGGAUUGGGC